CAAUACCAGCACCAGUUACCCUGCUGGGUCACAGACACAUAAAAAGGUUUUUACUCUGUGAAUACGGGACAAUGUGCUCAGAACAGACAACAGAGAACAGUGUGGUCACUGGCUUUACCUUGAGGGAUCAUCUGUAACUGCAAUAGAAACGUAGUAUGGCAUCCAAACUGAGUUUAAGGGAAUUUGAUUCUCAGAGCCCAAAGUCGGAUGUCAGACAUCACACGGAUGAAAAUUAUAAAACAAAUGCAUGGCAUACUAUGACCGCAGCGUUCCAUCAGAUAUCCGAGAAUGACGCUUCUCGAGAUCCCAACCAUCCCCAGUCUUUCCUGGCUCAACAGAGAAUAUCUGCGGCACUCAAGAGGAUCCGUCUCUGCAAGGACAAACCAAGCUAAGCAAUGAACUUCUGGUCUAAGAGCAGGCAUUCAGGGAAUAGGACAGACACACAGUCACUGGCUCCACCUGCUGGACACUGAAUGCAUUCACAUGCGCAAUUAUGCUGUAGUCGUUCUUAAAAAAGCUGACAAUGCUGUUAUUUUUAUGUCUUGAUGUCUAAAUAUAAACACAAAUGUGUUAUAGGUUAAUGGACUUAUGAAAUUUUAUUUUAAAUAGCCUAAAUUGAGUUACCCAGACACUCAACGUGGAACAUGUACCAGAUGUGGCCCGGAUCUGGGCCGACUCUAUGUUGCUGUCUGGCCUAAACACUGAAAGAAGGCUGCACUCUUCAACCAAACUAUGGGUUUUGCCAGAUAUAGUGUAUUGUUCUCUGAUAUUAAUUUAUCAACAUAAUUAAUUCAUCACAUUUCAGUAUAGUUUUGAUAGUUUUGUCAAUCGAGCACCAAUAGCCUGAAGUUAGCAUGGGUGGUCGUUGUUCGUACACUACUUUGAAUUACAUUUUGAUUGGUCCUCGUGAAAUGCUAUAAGGUUUAAAUUGACAUUGUUAAACAUUGUGUGGUUUAGUACAAAAUCAAAGCUGCAAAUAAAUGGAAGUCAAUGCAUGUUCA